rnacentral:rRNA from 1 species
UACGUAGGGUCCGAGCGUUGUCCGGAAUUAUUGGGCGUAAAGAGCUCGUAGGCGGUCUGUCGCGUCGGUCGUGAAAACUUGGGGCUUAACCCUGAGCUUGCGGUCGAUACGGGCAUGACUGGAGUUCGGCAGGGGAGACUGGAAUUCCUGGUGUAGCGGUGAAAUGCGUAGAUAUCAAGAGGAACACCUGCGGCGAAGGCGGGUUGCUGGGCCGACACUGACGCUGAGGCGCGAAAGCUAGGGGAGCGAACGGG